GCUAACGGCCGCUCAGUCGGAGUGGUUAACGAGUCAGACUUGAAAUCUGAUGCCUUCGGGCGCGCAGGUUCGAAUCCUGUCCGCAGCG
rnacentral:tRNA from 1 species